rnacentral:rRNA from 1 species
UACGGAGGGUGCGAGCGUUGUCCGGAAUCACUGGGCGUAAAGGGCGCGUAGGCGGCGCGGGAAGUCAACGGUGAAAGCUUGGGGCUCAACUCCGAGUCGGCCGUCGAUACUCCCGUGCUCGAGCACUGUAGAGGCAGAUGGAAUUCCGGGUGUAGCGGUGGAAUGCGCAGAUAUCAGGAGGAACACCGGUGGCGAAGGCGGGUCUCUGGGCCGAUACUGACGCUGAGGAGCGAAAGCGUGGGGAGCGAACAGG